GCUUAUGUUUUAGGAAAACUGUCUCCCGGUGUCAUUCUGUCUUUCAACCAAAUCCUGGCAGCUCAGAUUUUCUCAGCCAGGGUGCAAAAUUGCAGUUUGUCUCUUUCUGGUGAAAGGAAGGCCUCAUUGUCACUGGUCUUGCACAAAGAGCCCUUGGAGAGAAGGGACAGUGCACGGGGACAGAACACUCAGGGUCUGUGACUCUUAUCCUACUGAACUGUACGUUCCCAAAUCGGCCACGGCACACAUCAUAGUGGGGAGUUCCAAAUUCCGGAGUAGACGGCGAUUUCCUGUCCUUUCUUACUAUUAUAAAGAUAACCACGCCUCCAUCUGCCGGAGCAGCCAGCCCCUGUCCGGCUUCAGUGCCCGGUGCCUAGAGGACGAGCAGAUGCUCCAGGCCAUUAGGAAAGCCAAUCCAGGAAGUGACUUCGUUUAUGUCGUUGACACCCGGCCUAAAAGUGAGAUCAGUGCCCUACUCGUCCCCUCAUCUCAGAACCAUCCUGUCUUCUUCGGAGCAAAGCACACAGCGGGAGAGAAGUGUGUGGAGUAGUGAGGAUGGAGUUACUAUUCACGGAUGCCAGAUGAGCGAAUCAUUCCUGGAGAUCAGUGAUGAAACCGAUACCACAGCUAGAUCACAUUCACAUUCUACUAGAUUAUAAGUAAAGGGUCCCUUCCUUUUAAAUUCUCAGAGCACGACACACAGAUAAAAGUUUCAAACUGAAAAAAAACA
rnacentral:sRNA from 1 species